GUCAUUCUGAAACGUAGAAUCCUUAAAGGGAUAGGGACAAUACCCACUGUGAUCUGCAUGCAGAAGACAAGAUCAAUAGAGUUUAGCCGAUACAGGAAAACUUUUCUCGAACUGGCAAGAUAUCGAUGACAUGAAACUAACCACAGGACAGACGUUACUGCAUAAAAUACACAUCAAUUUCCUGUGAAAGAUCAUUGUUACUCAGAUAAUUACUCGUUUGGUAGGUAAUUUUACCUAAAUUUCUACCUUCAAGAAUAACCAUAAAG